rnacentral:rRNA from 1 species
GUGCUUAACACAUGCAAGUCGAACGAUGAAGCCCAGCUUGCUGGGUGGAUUAGUGGCGAACGGGUGAGUAACACGUGAGUAACCUGCCCUUGACUCUGGGAUAAGCCUGGGAAACUGGGUCUAAUACUGGAUAUGACUUCUCACCGCAUGGUGGGGGGUGGAAAGAUUUAUUGGUCUUGGAUGGACUCGCGGCCUAUCAGCUUGUUGGUGAGGUAAUGGCUCACCAAGGCGACGACGGGUAGCCGGCCUGAGAGGGUGACCGGCCACACUGGGACUGAGACACGGCCCAGACUCCUACGGGAGGCAGCAGUGGGGAAUAUUGCACAAUGGGCGCAAGCCUGAUGCAGCGACGCCGCGUGAGGGAUGACGGCCUUCGAGUUGUAAACCUCUUUCAGUAGGGAAGAAGCGAAAGUGACGGUACCUGCAGAAGAAGCGCCGGCUAACUACGUGCCAGCAGCCGCGGUAAUACGUAGGGCGCGAGCGUUAUCCGGAAUUAUUGGGCGUAAAGAGCUCGUAGGCGGUUUGUCGCGUCUGCCGUGAAAGUCCGGGGCUUAACCCCGGAUCUGCGGUGGGUACGGGCAGACUAGAGUGCAGUAGGGGAGACUGGAAUUCCUGGUGUAGCGGUGAAAUGCGCAGAUAUCAGGAGGAACACCGAUGGCGAAGGCAGGUCUCUGGGCUGUAACUGACGCUGAGGAGCGAAAGCAUGGGGAGCGAACAGGAUUAGAUACCCUGGUAGUCCAUGCCGUAAACGUUGGGCACUAGGUGCGGGGGACAUUCCACGUUUUCCGCGCCGUAGCUAACGCAUUAAGUGCCCCGCCUGGGGAGUACGGCCGCAAGGCUAAAACUCAAAUGAAUUGACGG